UGGAGCACCUAUCUUUUUGGUUGAUUUUGCAGAGAAUUCUUUUGAUCUUGAUCGCUUUCAGCGUUUGCGAGUCAAGAUGGAAGCUUUGCGGUCCGUACACUGUGUGCUGGUUACUUGAGGUUUGCGAAGCCAAUUCAGCUGCAAUGUAAAUGUUCUUUUCAAGGAUAGCCACUGCAUCAUCUAUGUCGUCGCCGUUGUGAAGUUCAGUCUCCAGAUGGAUUCGCUGUUCUAGGUCUCAGGAGGAGUCUAAUAAUUUGCAUGUUGUGAUCUGAACCUAAGUCAUAUGAUGUUUCGAUGUGGAUUAAAUUGUGUCUAAUACCCUUAUAAA